GCUGGGCAUGGUGGCGCAUGCCUGUAAUUCCAGAGGCUCAGGAGGCUGAGGUAGGAGGAUUGCACAUUCAAGGCCAGCCUCAAUAACUUAGUGAGGCCCUGUCUCGA
rnacentral:sRNA from 1 species